AACCCAUGCCCAUAUGAGAAGCAGCAUCCGUCAUAAAAUUGAAGAUAAUAAAUAUAUUUUAAUGAACAACCUAUCCAAUUCUGCUGAAACCCUUUGAGAUUGGUUUUAUGGACAUACGAUAAUUCUAGUUUGCCCAAAUACCCUCCUGUUCAUGCGUCGAGUAAUCUGUUUUUACAUGCUCAAUAAUUGAACUGUUUUUGUGUUUUCUUAUGUUGGUGGGCCUUGGUUGUAAUACAAUACUUAGCUUCCCUUUUUAUAGCCAUGACGAAUUCAACAAGACAACAACCAAAUCUUUGUUUUGUGAAAGACUGACAGGGUUCUGUGUAGGCAUUCUCUUAUUCUGCACACCCCUUGCCUUGCUAGCAGGCCUUCUCGAGUAGGAAACAUGGAGCCACAGUGUGCAAUUAAGAAAGAUGCCACUGAAUUAAUAGGUAACACCCCAAUGGUAUAUCUGAACAACAUUGUGGAGGGGUGUGUAGCCCGAAUUGCUGCUAAGUUAGAGUCCAUGCAACCCUGCUUCAGUAUCAAAGAUAGGACAGCAUUUAGCAUGAUUAAAGAUGCUGAGGACAAAGGCCUCAUUAAACCUGGAAAGAGUGUUCUAGUUGAGGCUACAAGUGGCAACACAGGCAUUGGAAUGGCAUUCGUAGCAGCAUUGAAGGGCUAUAAAGUAAUAGUGGCUAUGCCAGCUUCUGUUAGUCUAGAGAGAAAAAUUGUACUUGGAGCCUUUGGAGCUGAGGUGUAUCUGACAGACCCUGCCAAAGGAACAGAUGCAGUUCUUAGGAAGGCCGAGGAAAUUGUAUCCAAGACUCCCGGGAGUUUUAUGCUUCGCCAGAUUGAUAAUCCUGCCAAUCCAAAGAUUCAUUAUGAGACAACUGGCCCUGAGAUUUGGAGGGACUCGGGAGGGAAAGUUGAUGCUUUGGUUGCAGGGAUAGGAACUGGGGGAACAAUAACGGGUGCUGGCAGAUUCCUCAAGGAGAGAAACCCGGAUAUCAAGCUGUACGGUGUAGAACCAACCGAAAGUGCAGUCCUCAGCGGAGGACAGCCUGGUGAUCACCUAAUCCAAGGGAUUGGUAAUGGUAUCAUUCCGAGUGUACUGGAUGUUAGUCUCCUAGAAGAAGUUAUUCAGGUACUUUUUAUGUUGCCAUUCAAUUUUCAAUUUUUAUACAGAAAGUCAGAAAGUGGCCAUUUCUUUUCAAUUUGAAGUAGUCUCUCUCAGUCAAGUGUAUCCUCAUAAUUUGUUCUUUUUGUUAUGCAGAAAAUUACUGGAAUAAUCUUAAUAUAUUUAGUUUUUUCGCAGAUAAAUCUUAAUAUAUUUAGUCAAGUGUAGCCUCAAUUUUUCGCAGUACGAACUCACUUUUUAACCAAUUUUUUUUACGUUUCUAUACUGAAGGCAGCUCUUCGUGUGUUUUAUUUUUGUACUUUCUCAUUUCUGAUUCUUGAAGCAGCUUGCAAAUGUUACACGCUUCUCCAUUGGAUAAGAGCGGCAAUCAUGUCUGAUUCUUGUCGAAAUUUUGCUUUUCCUUUUUCUUGGACUCUGAUCUUGGCAUGUGCUGAGAUUAAAUAUCUGGACAAGUAUCACCUAUUAGUUCACACUUCACAGUGAGGCAUAUUGAUUAUGAAUAUAUGAUUCUUAAAACAUGUUUAGAUUUUGUAGGAAUAUAUAAAUAGAUAUGCUUGAAAAAAUUGGACAAACACCAAUGAAUUGCUGGCGAUAAAAUCCUCCCAACCUUGUAUUGAAAAGCAAAUAAUCACAAAUCAUGGCCUUAAUUGCGGGCAUUAUCUUAGGCUUACAAUCUUUCCUAUUACAGACUUAGACUGACAAGGCUCUACAAUUAGUACAAGUUUCUUUACACAUACGUAGUGUUUACACUGCUAGCUACUAAUACAAGAGUAGAAAAUUGUUGACUAAAACGGUUUGUAAAUUGCAGAUAUCAAGUGAAGAAGCUAUAGAAACUGCUAAGCUGCUUGCUUUGAAAGAAGGUUUGUUGAUGGGAAUUUCGUCAGGAGCCGCUGCAGCAGCUGCCAUAAAUUUGGGGAAGAGACCAGAAAAUGCAGGAAAACUCAUUGUUGUGAGUUUCUAACCUUUGACAAACUUAUUUGACCGGAAUUAAGGAGAUGAUUAUAUUCUAGAAAUUUAUCACACACACACAUUUGCCUUAUAUCUUCAGAUAAGUUGUUUCCCCUUUUUCAUAUUUCUUUCAUACUGAAAAUUUUGCCAAAGGAAAACAACAGUAAUGAACGAUGUCAGCGAAUAAACAGAAAAAAGGAGAGGCAGUGAUGAGGAGUGAGAGAGCACUUGGCCCUGAGGAAGUUGUGUUUCCCAGUUAUGGAGAGCGUUAUUUAUCUUCACCACUAUUUGAAUCCAUUAGGCAUGAAGCUGAACAAAUGACAUUUGACUAAGAUCAGAAAUCUUAUGUCAUUGUGCUCUCCGGAUUUGACACUUCACCAUCGUUUGAAUCCAUUAGGCACGAAGCUGAAUAAAUGCAUUUGAAAGAUCAGAAAUCCUAUGUUACUGUCAUCUCCGGCUUUUACACUUCACCUUUGCUUGAAUCCAUUACGCAUGAAGCUGAACAAAUGACAUUUGACUAAGAUCAGAAAUCCUGUGUUAUUGUGCUGAUUUUACACAACCAAAAGAAGUUAUACUAUUAUGUCUGGCAAGAAUUGCUGGACAGAACUGACAGUGUCUUAAAAAGUUAUGCAAAAAAUGAAGAGGAAAACCGGAUAUGUUUUCCAUAUAUCACUAAAACUUUUUUUGGGAUCAUCAGUAUUUACGUCACAUUCUUUGUGUGUUGUGUAAUCAAGUAAUCCAUCUUUUAAAUUUAUUUUUUGCAGCAAUGCAGUUUUUAGUUUUUCACUUUAACUGUCCAGUGAUCCCCUGUUCAAGGAUCCAUAUGUUUUACUCAAAUUAUUGGUAAGAAUUUUAUUU